rnacentral:tRNA from 1 species
GGCGGUUUGGCCGAGUGGUCUAAGGCGAUUGACUAGAACGUUCUUGAGAUCGAGUCCAAAUCUUGAAAUCAAAUAUUCUUAAUCAAUUCCGUUCGCGGGCGCAUGUUCGAAUCAUGCAGCCGUCG